GGAGUUGUAGCUCAGUGGUAGAGCACUUGCCUUGCAAAUAUGAGGCACUGGGUUCAAUCCUAGCACCA
rnacentral:tRNA from 1 species